rnacentral:rRNA from 1 species
UACGUAGGGACCGAGCGUUGUCCGGAUUCAUUGGGCGUAAAGAGCUCGUAGGCGGCCACUCAAGUCGAAUGUGAAACCUCGAGGCUACCAUCGAGCCUGCAUUCGAUACUGGGCGGCUAGAGUCUGGUAGGGGGAUCUGGAAUUCCUGGUGUAGCGGUGGAAUGCGCAGAUAUCAGGAGGAACACCGGUGGCGAAGGCGGGAUCCUGGGCCAGUACUGACGCUGAGGAGCGAAAGCGUGGGGAGCAAACAGG